rnacentral:piRNA from 1 species
AUCAAGCGGAACGGAUGCCAGAGC